UCCUGAAGAACAGCCCCUUGGUGAGCCGCC
rnacentral:piRNA from 1 species